CCGGAGAUUUCAACUGUGUCCCAAACGUAUUCGAUAAAGAGAUCAAACACAAUCGUAAGGUGAAUAACCAAAUUAAAAACCAAUCUAACUCCUUAAAUAAUAUUUUGAAAGAAAACAACCUAUUAGACAUAUGGCGGGUAAAUAAUACAUCCGAAAAACACUAUAUGCAUCUAGCUAGGGUACACCAAUCCUUUUCUACGAUCGAUUUAAUAUUAGAGGAAAAUAGCUUGGUGGAACAGACUACCAAAAUUUUGCUAAAAGACCAUCUGUGGGCAGAUCAUAGUUAUAUUACAUUUCAAAAGUAUAUAAGCU